GGGGAUAUAGUUUAAUAGGUAAAACGGUGUUUUUGCAUGUCACUAAUUCAGGUCCGAAUCCUGAUAUCUCCA
rnacentral:tRNA from 1 species